rnacentral:snoRNA from 1 species
GGCGCUUUAAUUCACAGUGCAUAUGGAUAAUAGACCAUUGACAUUGUUAUGUACUUAGCGCUAGAUAAAUAUGACCACUGAACCAUUGGUGCCGCUGUAAUUACCUAGCUACACUUCACUGAUUUGUGGUCCACA